rnacentral:rRNA from 1 species
CCAAACUGUUGCCUCGGCGGGGUCACGCCCCGGGUGCGUCGCAGCCCCGGAACCAGGCGCCCGCCGGAGGGACCAACCAAACUCUUUCUGUAGUCCCCUCGCGGACGUUAUUUCUUACAGCUCUGAGCAAAAAUUCAAAAUGAAUCAAAACUUUCAACAACGGAUCUCUUGGUUCUGGCAUCGAUGAAGAACGCAGCGAAAUGCGAUAAGUAAUGUGAAUUGCAGAAUUCAGUGAAUCAUCGAAUCUUUGAACGCACAUUGCGCCCGCCAGUAUUCUGGCGGGCAUGCCUGUCCGAGCGUCAUUUCAACCCUCGAACCCCUCCGGGGGGUCGGCGUUGGGGAUCGGGAACCCCUAAGACGGGAUCCCGGCCCCGAAAUACAGUGGCGGUCUCGCCGCAGCCUCUCCUGCGCAGUAGUUUGCACAACUCGCACCGGGAGCGCGGCGCGUCCACGUCCGUAAAACACCCAACUUCUGAAAUGUUGACCUCGGAUCAGGUAGGAAUACCCGCUGAACUUAAGCAUAUCAAUAAGCGGAGGAAA